UAAGCGAGUGAUUAAUAGUGCUUUAUGUCCUUGAUGCGGGGAAUGGAAAAGAAGACUAUGUGCAUGUUUUCCAGCAAUGCCCUGUAACAGUAGAGAUUUGGUAGAAGUUAAAGGUCUCAUGGGUUAUUACUAGAACGGCUCAAAAUAUCUGGGAAUGGAUUACCUGGAUCUUUCAGAAUAGUACUCAUCAACAGUGUCGCCUGCUCUGUUGCGAUUUGUGGAUCAUAUAGAGCUCAAGAAAUAAACUCGUGCAUGAAAGGAAGAUAGAGUUAGGGGGAGAGAUUUCACAGAAUAUCCGAAGAUAUAUGGUUGAAAUUGAGGGAUUAGAAGAAAAGAAGUUUACCUCUUCCAUUGGUAGCAGGAGUAACCAUCUAGAUGCAAACACCAGGGCAACGAUUCAGUUUGACGCAGCAUUCAACAACAGAAGUCACAAAUCAGCAUCGGGCUUAGUGGUUUGGAGUCGGAUGGGAGAACUCUUUGCAUUAAAGACAGUGGUAAAUGCAAACGUUCCAUCUCCGUUUACAGCAGAGGCUUACGCAGGCUUGCAAGCUGUUCAGUUAGGGAUCUUGAUGGCCCUUCCUUCAAUAACGGUUAUGGGAGACUCUCGAACAGUUAUCAAAAAAUGCCAAUCAAAAAACUCAGACAAAUCAACCAUCGGUGCAAUAAUUAGAGAUAUUCAAAGUAGUAUGACUCGUUUUCGAGAAAUAAAAUUCUAGUUCAUCAAAAGAACAGAGAAUGCCUAUGCUCACAACCUAGCGAAGGAGUCUUUAAGAAAGAAUGAGGAAACGUACCAGAGAAGGGCGGAUCUAACUUAGCACCAUUCGCAAUCGGAGGGAAGAUGGAAAAGCAACCCAGAUUGAGGUUUGCUUAUGGUAAAUGAAAUGUAACAGAUAGCUUAAUAUGGAAUAUGGAGCGGCUAUCGACAACACAGAGGAGAUGGAGAUGUGAAAGAACAAUACGGAAAAGGAGUCCAGCUGUGUCUUUGGAACCGGCUAGUUUCAUUACAAUAACAGUACGUUUGGUUGGAGGGAAUGGCUAUUCCAUUCCCUCCUUAUUCUGUGAUGACUGGUAAUGCUUUUGUUUGGUUCACCGUUUCUUCAUUCGGCCGUAUUACUUAAAGCGUUUCUAUUCCCUCAAACGCGUAAUAGGGAUUCAGCGUUGAAAGCUUGGAAUGGCUAUUCCGACCAUCGCUGAAUAGAAAUGAAGAAAAUUCUUCCCAAAAUCUCCUUCAGACUUUCUCUGCAAAUGCGUUCAAAAUUGCUUCUUUUAUUACAACAAUACACUUUCAGUAUUUCAGAUUUGGAGAUAUGGUGCAACAGACGAAACUUUAUUAAGAAAUAUACAUUAUAGUGCUUUGGAGCAGACACAAAUUGAAGUCCAGACACUAGAGGGUCAAAUGGAACCAGAAGUUCUGCUAGCGGGCAGUAUAGAUGGCUCCUUCAGGUCAGGGUUGAAAGCUGAAAUUGGAAUACUCUUUCCUAGGAUAUUUUUCUCCGGCAUGAAUCAGUGCAGUGCUUUGUUGGCAUCAUUAAGUCAAUGGGAGCUUGGAUGGAUAUAGAGCUGAAGAUAGGUGAUUCUGACUUGUCUAGAAGCUUCGAGAGUGACACUUCAUCAGAGAGACCUUCAACCUCAAUUGUAGAAAAUAGAGUUGUCCCUGAUUGUGAGCUGCAUCCAGAAAUGAAUUUUGAAUUGUCAGAUACUGCUACGCUUGAGCAACGCCUGGCUUACAAGAUUGAACUCCAAGUCGGUAAUUUUUUUAUGUUGGGAUAAGUAUGAGUGGUUCUUCAAGUAGCAGUUACUUAUCAUACUGAAACUGUCACAGAGGGCUGCCUAAGGAUAUCAUUAUAAUUUGCCAUAUUACUAUUGACUUCUCUUCAGUCAUGUAAUUUUAUGUAGCGUAAUUUUAUGUGUAGCUCUCCUUUUCUUUUACAAGCUUAGUUUUACUGACCAACUUUAAUGGGUUACAUGCAGAAAGGUGGCUCAUUAUUUAACAGGAAUCCUUCCAAAGGCAUCGAGUUUCUUAUAGAUACAUGCAGAUGAGAGCUUUAUUGCCUGAUAGACCAGGCUUUUCUUCAGCCAAGUUAAAUAGUUCCAUGACUAUUUCAUUCUUGAGAUAUUCCAAUGGAAGCACAAAGUGUUUCUGAUCUAUACUGUAUACAACAAAAUCGCCCUGCUCAACUGUUGUCGACGUGUUGCAACUGUUUGCGCCAGUAUCUGAGGUGGCACUUGAUGGUUAAUAGGAAAGAACUCCGAGAUGAAAGGAAAAAGAGGGAAGAUUUAGGCUUGAAACUCUUCUGGAUAUAAAGCAAUGGAAAUUUGAUGAAUAUAUAACUAGAAGGUGAGAGACAGUCCCUUUAAUGAAUAGUACAAUGCCGGUAUUCAUUGGAAACAAAGACGUGGUAGGUAGAUAUCUAUAGUCUGCAAGGUGACCAUGUUUGCUUUUAUUGGAUGAUUAACCCCCAGCAAAGUUGAUCAUAUAUAGAAGUUCAUAUAUACAUCUUUAUGUAAUUUCCAAGUGGUUUAACAACAAUAAGGUCCAGUAAUGAAAGUGGUCAGAUGAUCCACAUGUUCUGGAUUGAUGAGUUUUUAUAAUUUCUGAAACAAAUUUUGCCCCUAAAA